UAAUACAUGCAGUCGAACGAAAUAUUUUAUAUUUUAGUGGCGAACGGGUGAGUAAUGUAUUCCUAAUCUACUCUAGUGUGGGGAAUAACUAUUGGAAACGAUAGCUAAUACCGCAUAGGAUUUUUAUAGGCAUCUAUAAAAGUUUAAAGGCGCGCUUUGUAGCGUCGCUCUAGAAUGAGGGAAUAUCACAUUAGCUUGUUGGUAAGGUAAAAGCUUACCAAGGCGAUGAUGUGUAGCCAAACUGAGAGGUUGAUUGGCCACAAUGGGACUGAGACACGGCCCAUACUCCUACGGGAGGCAGCAGUAGGGAAUUUUCCACAAUGGACGAAAGUCUGAUGGAGCAAUGCCGCGUGAGGGAUGAAGGUCUUCGGAUCGUAAACCUCUGUUGUGAAGGAAGAAUAACUUAGAUAGUAAAUGAUCUAUGUUUGACGGUACUUUACCAGAAAGUCACGGCUAACUACGUGCCAGCAGCCGCGGUAAUACAUAGGUGGCAAGCGUUAUCCGGAUUUAUUGGGCGUAAAGAGUGCACAGGUGGUUUAUCAAGUCAGUUGUUAAAUACCAAGGCUCAACCUUGGCUCGCAAUUGAAACUGAUAGACUAGAAUAUCGGUGGGGGUAGUAGAAUUCCAUGUGUAGUGGUGGAAUACAUAAAUAUAUGGAGGAAUACCAGUGGCGAAGGCGGCUACCUGAACGAUUAUUGACACUUAAGCACGAAAGCGUGGGGAGCAAAUAGGAUUAGAUACCCCAGUAGUCCACGCCGUANACGAUCUAGACUAGACGUUGGGAUAACCCAGUGUCACAGCUAACGCAUUAAGUCUAGCGCCUGGGUAGUAUGCACGCAAGUGUGAAACUCANAGGAAUUGACGGGGACCAGCACAAGUGGUGGAGCAUGUGGUUUAAUUCGAAGAUACGCGAAGACCCUUACCUACACUUUGAAUGCUUGGCAAAGCUAUAGAGAUAUAGCGGAGGUCAACCAGUGCACAGGUGGUGCAUGGUUGUCGUCAGCUCGUGUCGUGAGAUGUUUCGGGUAAGUCCGGCAACGAGCGCAACCCCUAUCUUAUGGUUA
rnacentral:rRNA from 2 species